rnacentral:pre_miRNA from 1 species
GUAGUCAACCUUCUCGAACUUUGACAAGUUAAUAGAAAAAUAUAAUUAACAUCUACGAUGCCAAAUGAAUGCAUCAUCAAAAUAAAUUUGUUGUCGUAGUCUUGUAGUCAUCGCUGCCUCUUUCUAUAGAGUUGGUAAAAGUUAGAGAAGUUUGACUUAG